CAGAGACGUGACUGGGGUUGGGGGUGCCGAUCGAGAACGGUGAGGAAGGAAUGGCUGAGCUUCUUGCCGAGGCAUCAACACGAAUAGAACACAUGCAUGCCAUUGUCACAGUGGGCUGCUGUUGUGUUGUGGGCACUGCAAACAAUCCAAAGCUUUAAAAGGACUUUGUCAUCUAAUCUUUCUCUCCACCCGCAGAAGUG
rnacentral:lncRNA from 1 species